AACAACUCAAACAACUCUGAGGUGCCAAUUUACCAGAGGAGACGUGCAAAGAGGAAACAGCCAAUCCUGGAAAAUGUCGUAACGGGCGAUCAUUUUUUUAAUGUGCAAAACUAAGAGGAAAACACAACGUGAGAAUACAGCAUUGUCUCGAAUGCGUGUGCGUCACACGGGGCAGAUUUCACCAGCGAAUGAGGACGGAGAAUGAGCGCGAGCACUGUGCCGGGUAUUGCCUUAUAGGUUGAUGGAGGGGCAGGCCCAUCUGUAUGACGAGAUCUGUAGAGACUGAACCGUAGAAAUCAAUGUAGAACAUCACUGAAGAAUGUACGGAAUUGACUUCCGCAAAGGGAAAAAAACAUGUUGCACUAAAAAAAAGAAAACAAAAAAGAAACAGAAAA